rnacentral:rRNA from 1 species
GUGAGGAAUUUUCCGCAAUGGGCGAAAGCCUGACGGAGCAAUGCCGCGUGAAGGAUGAAGGCCUAUGGGUUGUAAACUUCUUUUCUUAGAGAAGAAUAUUGACGGUAUCUGAGGAAUAAGCAUCGGCUAACUCUGUGCCAGCAGCCGCGGUAAGACAGAGGAUGCAGGCGUUAUCCGGAAUGAUUGGGCGUAAAGCGUCUGUAGGUGGCUUCAAAAGUCUCCUGUCAAAGAUCAGGGCUUAACUCUGGGCCGGCAGGAGAAACUCUGAGGCUAGAGUUUGGUAGGGGCAGAGGGAAGGCCCGGUGGAGCGGUGAAAUGCGUAGAGAUCGGGAGGAACACCAAAGGCGAAAGCACUCUGCUGGGCCACAACUGACACUGAGAGACGAAAGCGAGGGGAGCAAAAGGGAUUAGAAACCCGUGUAGUCC